UACGUAGGGUGCAAGCGUUGUCCGGAAUUAUUGGGCGUAAAGAGCUCGUAGGCGGUUUGUCGCGUCGAAUGUGAAAACCCGGGGCUCAACCCCGGGCCUGCAUUCGAUACGGGCAGACUAGAGUUCGGUAGGGGAGUCUGGAAUUCCUGGUGUAGCGGUGAAAUGCGCAGAUAUCAGGAGGAACACCGGCGGCGAAGGCGGGUCUCUGGGCCGAUACUGACGCUGAGGAGCGAAAGCGUGGGGAGCGAACAGG
rnacentral:rRNA from 1 species